rnacentral:lncRNA from 1 species
CAAAUAGAGAGGGAGGGAAGGAAGGGAAGAUUUUUCUACUGAUUUAUGAAAGGUUCAGUCCUCCAGUGCAUUUGGAGAUGCUGCAUCCAAGUAGAGAGGGCAUGGAGUGUGGCUGUGGUAAAGUACUUUGCAGUUAAAAUAUGAGUCUCUGUGUAGGUGGGCUUGGAGAAAUGCUUUUAGGAAUGAGUUAGAAAAUGAGAAUUGGCUGCAGCUAGGUCAUGUAACAGGGCACUUUGCAGAGACACUAGGAAGCCAGGCAGUUUAUUAAUGAGAAGAAUGCUGCCCUGUAGCACUGCUUCCUACAGCUACUUGUAGGUGGAAUUCCUUGACCAUAAUCUUUGGGAUAAUCUUCUAGAGAACUCUUACACAAUGGUACAGAAAAGAUCUGACUAUGAAAUUACAAGUUUCAUGCUGAAUAUUAGAGGAACAACUCUUAUACAGGUGAUUGCUUAUCACAGGACAAAAGAAGACAGAGUAGGGUAGAAAAUGCUGGGCUACAAAUAAUUUGCAAAUAGUAGCAGAAAAAAUGGAAACAUGAGACUGAAAAUUACAUGAGCACUGUCCAUUCUCCAGUAGCAGUUCAUUAAAAUAUCAUUUAACUUUCUGUACAUCUUAUUUUCUGUCCCAGAAUUUUCUAGCUGUUUUUGAUGAAAAUCAACUUUGGCUGCUAAGGAGGGUCUCCUUCAUUUUUCAUGUGAACUUCAAUUACAGUCACAUGAUUUUCACACAAUGUAAAAUAAGAAAAUAACAGUAAAACCAUUCAUGAAACCGAAAAUAUCUCUAGCGAUUUGAGGGAAAAGGAAAUAAAAUUUAUUUUUAAAAUGUUUUAAUCUGAGUAAGCUGUUAGAUCUCAUUUUGAGUAUAGAAAAUUUAAAUUAGAGUUGACUCCAUUAAAGAGUCUAAGCGGCUGCAGUAUAUGAAUUAAGAUAAAAGAAGGCAUAGUGGUUAUUUUACAUAAAAAUGAAAAUAUAUGGGUUUCUAGAUAUUCUUGGUGGACUGUUUUCUUUCAGUAGAUCUCCUCUUGCCAUACAAAUACAGUCAUUUAUUUUUUCUUGGGAGCAUUUAUAAAAUAUUUACUAUAAUCUCUAUAACACUUAAAUUAAUGUGUUUUUAUUCAUAUUUUAUCUUAUUCAAAAGAUAACUUAAGCAGCUUAUAAAAAUAUAUUACAAGACCUUGACAACUAGUCAUACUUUUGUGAUGAUUGAAAGAUAUCUAAGUCUACCAAAACCACUCCCCACCUCCUCCACGUAUUAUUCUUGUUAUUCAAAAAUGUCAUCUUGGUGAUUGCUCUCUGCAUGAGUGUUGUCAAUGGAUAAGGACAGCACUUGCAAGUCUUGGUACCAUCUCCUUGUUUUUAAUGCUGUCCUUCUGCCACAAAUAGAACCAAACCAACUCACCUGUCCUCGCAGAUAUGGAUAUGCUGUCUGCUGCUGCUUUGGUCAAACAGAACAUGCCCAUAGGUGGUUAUUUCAAAUUUAGUCUUAAUGACUUUAAAGCCUUCCUCUGACCUAACUAAUCUCACUCAUUCACCUCUCUACCCACAAAGUAAAGUUUUCCAGUGUGGGUAAUCUGCCUCUCCCUUUCCUCAGUCAACACACAUUUAUUCAGGACACCUCUCCUGAGCGUGAUGGUAGGAACAACAGAAUUCGGUCGGAUAAACGCACAUCGGCUUAUUAACGACUUGAGCUGGUCUUGGAGGAAAAGAAGCAUUUGAGUUGAAUUCCUUCUUGUAUGUGAAAGACUAUGAAGGUCCUAAAACAAAGAUAUCUGAAAUUUAGAAAUGUUUAAUAAACAGAUGUCUUUGUAAUGGAUAGAAAUUCAGGAAGUAUGACACACUGAUGGGGAAAUUUUCUGGCAUGGUGGUCAGUUGAGUGUAGUCAUCCUGGGGGGAUAAGAUUGGUUUAAGAGUCUUGGCUUAAUAUUAGUGUCUGUCUCUGUAGCUGCUUGACUUGUUCAUUCUUUCUGCUGAAGUCACAACAGUUCAGCUGGGCUUCCACCAUGAAAGUAAUAAGUCUACAGACCAAGUUGUAUUGUCGUUAGUGUUCUAAUCAGCCAGGGUACACUUACCACUCACAUUUCAGGUAUUUCCAAAUUAUAGGGAAUAUUACAGCUAUUGCCAGGGUGAGAAAUGCAGAAGAGAUAUGUCUUGGUCCACUGUUGCAACCAUCAUAUGAAACACAAACCUUGGCUAGUGGUAGCUAUAAUCAAGAAGAACUGAUAGAGACUGACUCACUGAUUCCUCUGGCUUUUGGCCUAAAUCUAGUCAAUCAAAAAAAAGGUUUCCAAGUAUAAAAUACCAUACCAUAUGUUGACUAAGCAUAUGUUUUGAGGCUUAAAAGUCAUUGGAGAUUUCAUAUUCCUAACUUUGGUAAGUUGCUUUUCCUGGGUAAUAUUAUUUUCUUAGUUUUUGUAAAUAUGCUUCCUCAAUAUUGGGGAUCUCUAAAUUACAAAAUUUUCCCAAUUCUUUGUGAUUGUUUAAGGCUAAAUAAUGCAUUUGUUGUUAUAAUAUAAUGUACCUUUGCAAAAAUAGUGGUAAUUAAUUUCAUCUAAAAAUUAAUGUAGAAGACCUCCUUUGUUUCCAAUCCUGUGCUAGGUGCUAGACUGAAUUUGUAGACUUGAAUCUGUAGCUUAUAUUGUUUAUAUCCUUUUUUAUUUUUCUAUUUCAUUACAAAUAAAGUGGUUGGACAUUCCUGCAAUUUUCCACAGUUCAUAGAUAGUUAAGUGAUAUCUAGAUAGAUAGAUGGAUGGAUGUAUAGAUAGAUAGAUAAUGUAGUACCUUUUAGAAUUUAUGAUAUGUGGCAAAUCUGAAUAGAAUGUCAGAAAGGAGAGAAAUUUAAAAGCAGCACAACCAAGCAAGCUACCUUUUUUUUUCAUUUUCAAAAUAAUUUUUCAGGUCUAGGGAAAUUUUGACAUGAGUUAAAACCUUUCUCAACUUAGUGAACCAAACUUAAUUCAGAAGAUCACUCUGAAUCUUAUGGAUCAUGACAGUAUCAGAGGGGCUGUAUUUUUACAUGGAUAAACCAUUUCAGGAGAAUUUCUACAAUGUAUUAGACACAAACAUAUCUUUCACUUUCAGACGCUAAUGUUUUAUCUUGCUCCCUUGAUAUAUGUUCAGUACAUGCAUGUAUUUUGGCCUUAUAAGAAAUAUCUACUUUCAAAUAACAUUACAUUGUCUGCACAUUAGCUUAUCCGAAUAUGCUGUAAAGCAGAGUCUAUCCCGUGCUUCAGCGUUCAUUUUCUUUGGAGAACGUCUCAUUUACAGCUUUAGUUUGCCAUAGGGGAAAUGAUGGGGUGUGUUAAGCUCCUUCAGUGGUGAUAGUUAUAUUUAUUUGGGGACUUAUUGUGUUUUACUUUUUUUAUAGCUUUGCAUAAGAGAACCUCAAAUGUACUUCUCUUCUUACUUCCCUGGGGUAGGCAGCAGAAGAUAUGGAGAUUCAGAGCCUUAAGACAGCAAAAGGGCAAUGAUGGGAGGAGCAGCAUCUAAUAGACAAUUACAGGACAAGUGCCAUUGUUGUACAUGCAUUUUCCCUCAUUCAGGCAAUUCAUGCACAAAUUAGAAACUAGUUUUUGUUUUUGUUUGUCUCUUAGUGCUAAUCCCAGUUGUGAAGAGUAAAGAGGCACUUUCCAUCCCUUUGCCAAACAUUUCCUUUCAGAGAACAUGGGAAAUAUUCAGAGUUAUUGCUAUAAGUUUUGCUUGAGUGCUUAUUUUUUAAUUCAUAUUUAUACCGUGCUUUUUUACACAAAGGACUCGAGGCAUUCUCUAGAAUCUGUAAAAAAAUGAAUAUAUGUUAAUUAGCUUACAUCCAGUUAUUUUAAAUUUAACAAUACUUAGUUUGUACUGGUUUGUUUUAUAAUGCAAUUUACAAUACUUUUAUGGUAUAUUUGGUAAGUGGUCUUUAAGAUACAGCCAUGUAUAUUUUAAUUAUAUAUGAAUUUAUGUAGAAUAAUAAAAUACAGUAGAUAUUUUCUGCAAUGUAAAUUUAUAUUUGAUGAUCCUGACUCACAACUGGGAGAUGAAGUAAUGCGGAUCAGCCAAAGCAUGCAGAUAUAUGAAUUUAUUAAAUAAUCUGUAUUUCUGUAAUUCUGAUUGCAUAGGAUGACAUCUUUAAAAUUAGAAGCUAAUUUUUCAGAAAACAUGAAAUUUAAUUUUUUUCAGCCUUUUCAAUGUGCAUUGAAUCACUGUUAUCAAAAUAAUUUUAUUUUAAAUAUGCUUGCCUAGAAUAUUUUAUCACGCCUCUGCUUUUUCCUGAAGUUAUUCCCUUUAUAGAUCACAUGAUAGCAAAUCACCUUUCACCAAUCAUGCAAAGCAAAAGAUCUUCAAAAUUCUAAGCAUUUAUCCCUCAUGAGAGAUGUUACCUCGUGCUGUUGGAUCUUUCCAUGCAAAUUAGGUUUCUUCCUCAUUCUACAUCAGCAUUGAAAGAAAUUAAAGAAAAGAAAAUAUAAAACUUGCCAGCUGGAGAUAGUCGUGUUAAAUAUUUUGCCCUUUUGUGUUCUUGCAUCUGUAUCCUUCCAUCAAAAACAAAAUAAUCUUUGAAGUUUUGUGAAACUUCAAGAAGAAAAAAAUUAAAAGGAGAAAAAAAAUAAGGUUUUCCUAAAUUCAGAAGCAGCUACAGCCAGAUAUUAUGGGUAAUUUUCAUGCACUAUCCAGACAGGAUGGCUGUUUUCAUCCAAAAGUAUUUCUGUGGAGUGAAAGGACAUUUUUCUCUUGGAAUCUUUAAGGUAAUUAAUUUUCAGUGCACACUGAUGAUUUAGGUGGAUAACCUGGCCUUGUUAAACAUGUACGCUGUUUCUGACCAUCAACAUUAUAACUCAUCAGACUUUCCAAAGCAAAAGCUGUUUAAAUCAAAGGAUUUCGUUGCAUAUCCCUGACUGCUGCUGGCUAGAUGUCAGAGCUUGGAAGAUACUCUCUAAGUAAUUGUAAAGCACUGUUCUCCAAUCAGCAUACAUUACUGCAGAGCAAGAACUACACCGUCGGAAUUUCUAUUGAAGUUUUAACUCAGUCAUUUGAACUUUGAGUCAUACAUACUUAAAUGCCUGUACUGGAUUAAAAGCAUAUUACCUUCUUCCCUUUACAUAAUGGCGUUCAGGACAAAAAUACACUCUUUUGAGUUCUCGAGUUAGACAUUAAGGAUAAUUGCCAUUAUUUUUGCAACAGGAUUUAAUACCCAUAAACUGUUUCAUGUUAGCUUCCAUAUGCAAAGUAUAUAAUCUUUAUGGGACAGAGGAAAUUGGGAUCCUUUGAAUGUGAGAGUAAAGGAAGAGAAAUACAGUUAGUAGUUUGGUUUGGUUUAGUCUUAAUUUUUUUUUUUUUUGAGGGGAAUGGGAUGUGAAUUGAGUAAGGAAGAUAUAGAGAUAUAUGUAUAUAUAUGUAUGUAAAUAUAUAUAUGUAUAUAUAUGUAUGUAUGUAUGUAUGUAUGUAUUGCUUCCAACUUUCAGGAGUAGAAGUAGGGACUGUUUGAAUACAGAACAUUUCUGGGAAAACAGGAGAAAUUAGUGACCCUGGCUGGCCCAGGAAUGGAAACAAGGCAUGAGUCUUUUCUCUCAAUAGCCUCCCAUACCCUUUGAACUUAGAAUGAGGGGAAUGUUAGUUUUUUAAAAAAUAAACAUGAAAAAAAAAAGAGUAGAAGUAGGAAAUCACAUAGAGAACCUUUAUCAACUUUCAUACAAAGUUUUUUAUGAUUCAUAGUUGAAAAGAAAGGAGUUCUCUUAUGGCACAACAGGUUAAGGAUCUAGUGUUGUCACUGCAGCAGCAGGGGUCGCUGCUGUGACCAUGGGCUCCAUUCCUAAUCCAGAACUUCCACAUACUGCAGGUGUGGC